rnacentral:tRNA from 1 species
GCUCGGUUAGCUCAGUAGGUAGAGCAUACGGCUGUUAACCGUAGGGUCAUUGGUUCAAUCCCAAUACCGAGCG